GACGAACGCUGGCGGCGUGCUUAACACAUGCAAGUCGAACGGUGAUGCAGAGCUUGCUCUGCGGAUCAGUGGCGAACGGGUGAGUAACACGUGAGUAACCUGCCCUUGACUCUGGGAUAAGCGUUGGAAACGACGUCUAAUACCGGAUACGACCCGUGGAGGCAUCUCCUGCGGGUGGAAAGAAUUUCGGUUGGGGAUGGACUCGCGGCCUAUCAGCUUGUUGGUGAGGUAAUGGCUCACCAAGGCGACGACGGGUAGCCGGCCUGAGAGGGUGACCGGCCACACUGGGACUGAGACACGGCCCAGACUCCUACGGGAGGCAG
rnacentral:rRNA from 1 species